rnacentral:misc_RNA from 1 species
GAGAUUGGCUCUAAGCCUCAGGAAGCAAUGCCAUAUUGCCAGAAAGCUAUAUCAAUUUGCAAGUCAAGGCUGCAGCUGCUUGUGAAUGAAGUAAAGAGUUCCUCUGAAUCAGCAAUGUCAUCAGCUGUUUCUGAACUAGAUGAGNCUGAAUUAGAUGAGGGUGUCCAGCAGUCAUCCAAUGACUUGCAGAGUGAUAAAGGUGUUAGAGAUAAAGAAUCAGAGAUUGAAACACUUA